AUUGAACGCUGGCGGCAGGCUUAACACAUGCAAGUCGAGCGGAGAGAGGUAGCUUGCUACUGAUCUUAGCGGCGGACGGGUGAGUAAUGCUUAGGAAUCUGCCUAUUAGUGGGGGACAACAUUUCGAAAGGAAUGCUAAUACCGCAUACGUCCUACGGGAGAAAGCAGGGGAUCUUCGGACCUUGCGCUAAUAGGUGAGCCUAAGUCGGAUUAGCUAGUUGGUGGGGUAAAGGCCUACCAAGGCGACGAUCUGUAGCGGGUCUGAGAGGAUGCUCCGCCACACUGGGACUGAGACACGGCCCAGACUCCUACGGGAGGCAGCAGUGGGGAAUAUUGGACAAUGGGCGGAAGCCUGAUCCAGCCAUGCCGCGUGUGUGAAGAAGGCCUUAUGGUUGUAAAGCACCUUAAGCGAGGAGGAGGCUACUUUAGUUAAUACCUAGAGAUAGUGGACGUUACUCGCAGAAUAAGCACCGGCUAACUCUGUGCCAGCCGCCGCGGUAAGAC
rnacentral:rRNA from 1 species